AUAAAAUAAAAUAAAAAUUUGCCCCGUGUGAAAUCCUAGUUAAGAACAUAAGACCAAGAUAGAGUUUAUCGACUGCACAUAACAAUUCACAGCAAUUGAUAGUUGCCUUUCUUUAAUCUUUAUUGUAAAUCUAUGUUUGGCUAUCAGUUUUGAUGAUUAUUACAGACAAGAAGUUCAUUUCCGUUUCUUAUUUGUUCCCAAUAGUUUUGUAUUAAUCGAAUGCGGAAUUGCGGAUAUGAUAGAAAAACAAUAGGGCCAUAGUUUGGAUAGAGGCCCGUUUGGUUAGAUAAAAGCCCAUUUGGUUUACAUGUGACCCAAAAACACUAAUUAGUGAUGCGGGACUAAUCUGGUACGGUACGAAGUUGGAAUCUUACCAUAGACAUUAGACACGCUGGACAGAGAGAAUCUCCGGUGUUGUUGUCGCCGAUCUUCAUCUUCUUCUUCUUCGUCGACGAAUCAUACCAAAAUUUCGUCGACAUCGGACCAAGAGAAUCACCAAACUUCCGAAUAACUUCUGCAGAGAUCUAAACUUCCGGUCAAUCGUCAGAUCAUCGAUUCUCGGAGGAACUUCCAAAAUUUUAGGUCAUUGUGUGAUUUUCUAGACUUGAACUAUGGAAAGACAAGUUCCACUUCCAAGAGGAGUUCGAUUCUCUGUUAAAGAUAUUGACCUGAUCGAUGAUUUCCUGAGACCCCAUGUAAACGAAGAGAUCAUUCAAGACAACGUAAUUGAGUCUAAAGACAUUUAUGAAAAGGAACCGGGAGAGCUAGAACAUCGAUUUAAUCAGUACUAGAAGCUUCCGCUCCAUAGAGAGAUCUAUGGUGAUCCAAUCUAUGACAUCUACGAAGAUGUCGUACAAGAAGAUAUUCGUGCGAAUUUCGUGCAACAUACAAGUGGUGCAAAAUUCGGUUCAGAUAUGGUUCGUGCAAAUUUUGGGCAGAAUCAAAAGUUGGAGAUAAAGACAGAUAUUCGAAGAUCUCCAUUGCUGAAAACCCUGAUGAAGAUUCGAGGGCGAAUCUUUCUUGGCCGGCGAGACCUGAUGCAGCGUAUAUUUGAAUAAUUCCAAAUAUCUUUAUUAUUUCCUAAUAUCUCUAUUUAGUUAUUUAGAUAAUUUCUA